GCCUUGCAUGCAAAUUAGAGGGUAUAGUUGAAUCGCCAGUUGUAAAUGGAUACCGGAACAAGUGUGAAUUUUCUGUUGGAUAUUCUCCGGAAGGCAAACCAACUGUGGGGUUUAUGCUUGGGAACUUCAGGGAGGGUGUGACUGCUGUUGAGGAACCUGCAGACUGCCCCAAUGUUUCUAGAAUUGCAAAUGUGCUGCAAUAUUUCAAGAGUUUCUACAACAUUCAGGCUUACCAAUUUGGAACAGAUUGAAUAAUACUGGAUUCUGGCGUCAGUUAACAGUUCGAGAAGGAAGAAAGCCAGGCAAGGAUGCUGAGGUUGAAGAUUUUGGGGCCAAUAUUUCAGAGGUCAUGCUCAUGGUUCAGGUUUAUUUCUAAUGAACCUACACUUUGAGUAUUCUCUUCACGUUUGUGGUUUUCUAUUGAACAACAUAGGAUGUUUCAAUGCUCUGGUAUUCUAUAUGUUAGAAAUUUUAAAAAAGGCUGAGUAGUAUUUGCUUUGCCAAAACUAGGGUUUAUAUAACUUACGCAAAAAAAAAAAAAAAAAUUACUGGGGUUUAUAUUAGAUUACAACCCUGAAUCUAAAAGGAAACAACUUAUUUGGAGAUACUCAUUAAAUAUAGUCCUUGCUUAAACCAAUCCAAUGAUAUCUGAUAAAACUAAAAACAAUUUUAUGGUGUAACAACAGUUCACCAUGGUCCAAUACAACCACUCAUGAUACUUCUCAUUCUCUAGUAC